rnacentral:misc_RNA from 1 species
GAUGAAGAACGCAGCGAAAUGCGAUAAGUAAUGUGAAUUGCAGAAUUCAGUGAAUCAUCGAAUCUUUGAACGCACAUUGCGCCCCCUGGUAUUCCGGGGGGCAUGCCUGUCCGAGCGUCAUUGCCGCCCUCAAGCACGGCUUGUGUGUUGGGCCCCCGCCCCCCGGCUUCGGGGGGCGGGCCCGAAAGGCAGCGGCGGCACCGCGUCCGGUCCUCGAGCGUAUGGGGCUUCGUCACCCGCUCUGUAGGCCCGGCCGGCGCCCGCCGGCGACCCCAAUCAAUCUUUCCAGGUUGACCUCGGAUCAGGUAGGGAUACCCGCUGAACUUAAGCAUAUCAAUAAGCGGAGGA